AUAAAACGAUGCACACAACUAUUUAUUUUCUAUUUCAAGGAACGAGUAUGUUAAGGGGUUAAUGUCAGUGUUGCUCUCUCAUGUCAUUAUCACCCAUUAGUUCAGCUGAAACUCCACACUCACUGAGGCGAGCUGAGGUGUCGACAAACAACCCUGUGACCUUUGAACGGGAUUGUUUGGCCUUACUGCACCACGAGCGGACACAACACAGACUCCCUCAUCAGGCCUGACAGAUGUGUCGCUGUAUAAACUCUACACCACUCGAUGGGAUGUGAGGCCACUUGGAGAGAGACGUGCUGUCCUCCGGGUUGAGGUAUGUGCACACGAAACACAAGACGAACACGCGUGUUUUUCCGACCGACGUCCGUCUCGCCCUUCCUCAGCUCGAUGUCGGCGUUCCUGAGCUUCAGGAUCCCUGCACAGUCGAUUCUGCAAGAAAGGCAUAUAUUUGUAAGAAAAACAGACAAAGAAAAAGUGGGAUCUCAAGGACUUUGGUGCCGUGGAUAACCUUCUCAUAACUGGUGGUGGUAACCGUCUUCCCAGUGAUGCGGUGCACUUGAUAAAAGGCGUGCGGCUUGAGGAUGCGCUCAUCUGCUGUACCAAUGAAGAUCUGCAGGCCAAGUGGCUCCUUGCCUCUGUAGCC